rnacentral:piRNA from 1 species
UUUUGCAUGGUGCCAUGGAC